rnacentral:rRNA from 1 species
CGGGGGGCCUUACCAUGCAGUCGAGGGGUAGACCGCUUCUUGCUUUGAGACCGGCGCACGGGUGCGUAACGCGUAUGCAAUCUGCCUUUCGAGAGGGAUAGCCCACAGAAAUUUGGAUUAAUACCUCAUAGUAUUACCACUCGGCAUCGAGAUGUAAUUAAAGUCACAACGGUGAAAGAUGAGCAUGCGUCCCAUUAGCUAGUUGGUAAGGUAACGGCUUACCAAGGCGACAAUGGGUAGGGGUCCUGAGAGGGAGAUCCCCCACACUGGUACUGAGACACGGACCAGACUCCUACGGGAGGCAGCAGUGAGGAAUAUUGGUCAAUGGGCGCAAGCCUGAACCAGCCAUGCCGCGUGCAGGAUGACGGUCCUAUGGAUUGUAAACUGCUUUUGUACGGGAAGAAACACUCCGACGUGUCGGAGCUUGACGGUACCGUAAGAAUAAGGAUCGGCUAACUCCGUGCCAGCAGCCGCGGUAAUACGGAGGAUCCAAGCGUUAUCCGGAAUCAUUGGGUUUAAAGGGUCCGUAGGCGGUCUUGUAAGUCAGUGGUGAAAGCCCAUCGCUCAACGGUGGAACGGCCAUUGAUACUGCAGGACUUGAAUUAUUGGGAAGUAACUAGAAUAUGUAGUGUAGCGGUGAAAUGCUUAGAGAUUACAUGGAAUACCAAUUGCGAAUGCAGGUUACUACCAAUGGAUUGACGCUGAUGGACGAAAGCGUGAGUAGCGAACAGGAUUAGAUACCCUGGUAGUCCACGCCCUACACGAUGGAUACUAGCUGUUGGGGGCAACUUCCGUGGCUAAUCGAAAGUGAUAAGUAUCCCACCUGGGGAGUACCAACGCAAGUUUGAAACUCAGGGAAUUGACGGGGGCCCGCACAAGCGGUGGAGCAUGUGGUUUAAUUCGAUGAUACGCGAGGAACCUUACCAAGGCUUAAAUGCAGACUGACCGAUUUGGAAACAGAUCUUUCGCAAGACGGUUUACACGGGCUGCAUGGUUGUCGUCAGCUCGUGUCGUGAGGUGUCAGUUAAGUCCUAUAACGAGCGCAACCCCUGUUGUUAGUUGCCAUCUAGUCAGUCCGGAACUCUAACAGGACUGCCAGUGCAGACUGUGACGAGGUGGAGAAUGACGUCAAAUCCUUCAUGGCCCUAUACUCC